GAUGAACGCUGGCGGCGUGCUUAACACAUGCAAGUCGAACGAAGCACCUUAUUCUGAUUUCUUCGGAAUGAAAAAUUUGGUGACUGAGUGGCGGACGGGUGAGUAACGCGUGGGUAACCUGCCUCAUACAGGGGGAUAACAGUUAGAAAUGACUGCUAAUACCGCAUAAGACCACAGCACCGCAUGGUGCAGGGGUAAAAACUCCGGUGGUAUGAGAUGGACCCGCGUCUGAUUAGGUAGUUGGUGGGGUAACGGCCUACCAAGCCGACGAUCAGGAGCCGACCUGAGAGGGUGACCGGCCACAUUGGGACUGAGACACGGCCCAAACUCCUACGGGAGGCAGCAGUGGGGAAUAUUGCACAAUGGGGGAAACCCUGAUGCAGCGACGCCGCGUGAGCGAUGAAGUAUUUCGGUAUGUAAAGCUCUAUCAGCAGGGAAGAGAAUGACGGUACCUGACUAAGAAGCCCCGGCUAACUACGUGCCAGCCGCCGCCGUAA
rnacentral:rRNA from 1 species